UACGUAGGGUGCGAGCGUUGUCCGGAAUUAUUGGGCGUAAAGAGCUCGUAGGCGGUUUGUCGCGUCGGCCGUGAAAACUUGGGGCUUAACUCCAAGCUUGCGGUCGAUACGGGCAGACUUGAGUUCGGCAGGGGAGACUGGAAUUCCUGGUGUAGCGGUGAAAUGCGCAGAUAUCGGGAGGAACACCAGUGGCGAAGGCGACUACCUGGCCUGUUCUUGACGCUGAGGCGCGAAAGCUAGGGGAGCAAACGGG
rnacentral:rRNA from 1 species